CGCCCCCUUCUCACUGCGGCGUGGGUACUUCGCAAUUUACGAUUUCAAACUUGUUGACACUUUGGAACAGUGCUACGCAUGAUGAGACUGAAAUCGUUAUGUAAGAUGACACACCGAAACACUAAACUUGGUGACUGCAGCAAGAAGGUCUUGAGAAACAUUUCAUAUAGUGAUUUGUGGAGCCAGCUAUAUCUCAAUGUGCUUCCAAGGGAAGGAAAAAAACAAAUUCAAACCUCAUAAUAAACAAAUUUGCAUACAAUUUGCUUGAGAUGACUAGAUAAAGCAGCCAGCAGAACACAAGGCACUGACAGACUAAAGGAAAGGUCAUCUUUCAUUUGUAUUACUAAAUGUUACGCCGUAAUAAGAUGAUGUGGCAUAAUAUGUAUAAGAGGGAUGAAAAGCAUUCAGAAACAAAUUGUAUAAGUCUGUUUUCUACUAACUCAGAGUACUACAACCAGCCUGGCAGUUUAGUUUUAAAUGUUUUCCUAUUACAAACCAGAGUGCUAAAUGAGGCACUACUUAUAUAUUAUUUAAAUAAAAUUUCUUGUAACGGAUAACUGCAUUUACCCUAAUGGAAAAAAUUGCUAAUAGUCCUUAAUGGUGAUUUUUAUGUGCUCUUAAUAGUCUAUACAUUUUUGUCAUUGCUUUAUGCUGUACACCAGGGGUGCCCAAAGUGUCGAUCAUGAUCGACCGGUAGAUCGCAAAGGUAGUGCAGGUAGAUCGU